UUGAAUUGAAGAGUUUGAUCAUGGCUCAGAUUGAACGCUGGCGGCAGGCUUAACACAUGCAAGUCGAACGGUAACAUAAAGAAGCUUGCUUCUUUGAUGACGAGUGGCGGACGGGUGAGUAAUGCUUGGGAAUCUAGCUUAUGGAGGGGGAUAACUACGGGAAACUGUAGCUAAUACCGCGUAAUAUCGAAAGAUUAAAGUGUGGGACCUUCGGGCCACAUGCCAUAGGAUGAGCCCAAGUGGGAUUAGGUAGUUGGUGAGGUAAAGGCUCACCA
rnacentral:rRNA from 1 species